UACGUAGGGUGCGAGCGUUGUCCGGAAUUAUUGGGCGUAAAGGGCUCGUAGGCGGUUUGUCGCGUCGGGAGUGAAAACACACAGCUUAACUGUGUGCUGGCUUCCGAUACGGGCAGACUAGAGGUAUGCAGGGGAGAACGGAAUUCCUGGUGUAGCGGUGAAAUGCGCAGAUAUCGGGAGGAACACCGGUGGCGAAGGCGGUUCUCUGGGCCUUACCUGACGCUGAGGAGCGAAAGCGUGGGGAGCGAACAGG
rnacentral:rRNA from 1 species